UACGUAGGGUGCAAGCGUUAAUCGGAAUUACUGGGCGUAAAGCGUGCGCAGGCGGUUUUGUAAGUCUGUCGUGAAAUCCCCGGGCUCAACCUGGGAAUUGCGAUGGAGACUGCAAGGCUUGAAUCUGGCAGAGGGGGUAGAAUUCCACGUGUAGCAGUGAAAUGCGUAGAGAUGUGGAGGAACACCGAUGGCGAAGGCAGCCCCCUGGGUCAAGAUUGACGCUCGAUGCACGAAAGCGUGGGGAGCAAACAGG
rnacentral:rRNA from 1 species